CCUACGGGGUGCAGCAGUGGGGGAUAUUGCACAAUGGGGGAAACCCUGAUGCAGCGACGCCGCGUGGGUGAAGAAGCGCCUCGGCGCGUAAAGCCCUGUCAGCAGGGAAGAAAAUGACGGUACCUGAAGAAGAAGCCCCGGCUAACUACGUGCCAGCAGCCGCGGUAAUACGUAGGGGGCCAGCGUUAUCCGGAUUUACUGGGUGUAAAGGGGGCGCAGACGGCGAUGCAAGCCAGGAGGGAAAGCCCGGGGCCCAACCCCGGGACUGCUCUUGGAACUGCGUGGCUAGAGUGCAGGAGGGGCAGGCGGAAUGCCUGGGGUAGCGGUGAAAUGCGUAGAUAUCAGGAGGAACACCGGUGGCGAAGGCGGCCUGCUGGACUGCAACUGACGUUGAGGCCCGAAAGCGUGGGGAGCAAACAGGAUUAGAUACCCCGGUAGUC
rnacentral:rRNA from 1 species